UACAGCUAUACCACAUUGAAACACCAGUUCUCAUGCAAUCACUGAAGUUAAGCAACGUCAGGCCUAGUUAGUACCUAGAUGGGUUACCACUUGAGAAUACCAAGUGCUA